AAGGUUCAAGUCAUCUGGAAGGUCCAAGGCCUCAGGUUCCGGCAGCUUCUCCUGAUUGCCAUGCAAUGACGAAGCUCUUAGGCCCUCGUAACUUCUGCCUGUUGGGCUGAUCCCUUGGAAGUAUCCAGCUGAAACAGUGCCAUCCGUGGACCUGGAGAGAACAGUCAUGGGCCACCAGGUAGCAGCAGCAAUCACAGGUCAUCUGUUUGCCUAAGUCCAGAGCCCACUCCACCCCAAACCCAAGACUGUGUGUUGAACAAGUCAAACAAGCCUAUAAGAACCAGGCAUUUGUCCCAAAGCAAUGCAAGAGUGCUGUUGCUAGAAUCAACAGUUCACUUGAUACCUAACCCGGCCUAGAAACCAUCACAGCGGCUGCAUCCUUUAUUUCAGAUUGGUGCCAUAACCACUCCAAUAUAAAACACGGAGGCCCCAGGUACCUGGACAGACAACACGGUGCACUUUGACGGCAGGCAAGGCCAGGGGAGCACAGACAGACCUCUGUGACGAUCCUCCUGCAGGGCCUCUGACAGGGGCCCACCCCAGCCCCUCAGCAUGGCUGAGUCAGCAAUGGAGCCAGUGCACAAAACACAAACCUUCCAACCCAGUGAAGACUACUUGGCAGCUGCAGUGCUCCCCUCUAUUCCCUUAGCCCUGGCUUAACUGUUAAACAGACAAAAGAAUAGAACUGGAGGAAAAGAAUAUGUUCAUUUCGUUCUCCCCAAAAUUGAUUACGAUAGCU